rnacentral:lncRNA from 1 species
CGUGGCUCGGACUCGAGGGGAGUGGCUAGUUCGCAGGGGCGUGGCUUGGGCUCGCGAAGGCGUCCGAGAUCCAGGGCAGCUCCGAGGCAGAACUGUCCGGAUCUAACAGUCCUUGUGGAGUCGGAGACCGGUGGCCGGUUUGUGGGCUGACUCAGGGCUCCUAAGGAGACACAGGCGGGCCGUGAGGGCAGGUGAAGGGGGCUAGACGUGCGAUCCUGCCGCCGGACCCACAGGCCAUGCGGCCCCCGCUGUUGCUGCUGCUGCUGCUGCUGCUCCCUGCCGCCCCGGUCCCCAUCGCCAAGGCCGCUCCCCUCCUGGAUGCGAACACCCAGGAAGGCUUUCAGAACCUGCUCCAAGGAGUCCAGGCUGGCGGAGACAGAGAGCUGCGGGCAGUCUCAUACCUGGCCCCUGGCUCUGCCUGUAGUAAUGGAGCUGUGAUGGCCGUUCGACCCCCAAGCCAGGGAGGAAGACCUGCGGCUCCGUGAGAGGCGUCCAGGGCUGCAGGCCAAGGCGACAGGCUCCAGGGGACAUGGGGCUUCCCCUGUUCAUUCC